rnacentral:tRNA from 1 species
GGUGGCUCAGUGGUAGAGUGCUUGCCUUGCACAUGCAAGUGGUCCUGGGUUUGAUUCCUCAGCACCA